CUUUAAAUAAGGUUAAAAACACCAAAUUCGCUAUAUGGGACAUGACCUUGACCUUUGACCUUUUGACCUUUGUCAAGGUCAUUAGUCCCCAAUGUCAUUGCUGAAGACCCCAUGGGUCUAGGACCUUUGGUUAUAUAGUAAAAGCUGAUUUUGUCUUUCCAGAAACCUAAAACAGGUGUUAUGCCCCUUAAAAAAGGUCAAAUCUCUUCGGUCAAAAUGUAACAAAGUUGUGCCGUAAUGACCCAAACAUUUUCCACUAUUUAAAACUUCUGUAAGUAUAAUGGUUUCUGAGAUUAUCCCAUAACAAGGUGUUAGGUCAAAGGUCAAGGUCAACAUACAAAUUUGACCUUGAGGUAUUUUUCAAAGAUACAUAAAUUGAUGAUGAUUGGUGAAGAUCCUAGGUGUCUACGACUUACGGUUUCUGAGUUUUGGUGGUCAACCGACACCGGUUAAUUUUCAUAGGGGCAUAACCCUACCAAUGAGUCGUUGAAUCUUUUCGAUCCAAAUGUAACGAAGAACCAGGGUCUGGUCCUGAACAAAUUUCACCCUUUGUUUUUUUUCUACCUAUUACGGUUACGGUGUUGGAACGAUAACAAGGUUUUUGGGUUUCGGAGGGAUUACUCCGAACCGACAAAAUAUUUUCGACUCACAGGGUGAGUUCCGGAUAGGUAUUCAUUACACCGAUACAAAGUGUGAACAUGAAAGCGACACGUCUUACGGUUACGGAGGCUAACUUCGUCAAAGUUUG
rnacentral:lncRNA from 1 species